rnacentral:rRNA from 1 species
AGCGAACGCUGGCGGCAGGCUUAACACAUGCAAGUCGAGCGGGCACUUCGGUGUCAGCGGCAGACGGGUGAGUAACACGUGGGAACGUACCCUUUGGUUCGGAAUAACGCUGGGAAACUAGCGCUAAUACCGGAUACGCCCUUUUGGGGAAAGGCUUGCUGCCGAAGGAUCGGCCCGCGUCUGAUUAGCUAGUUGGUGGGGUAAUGGCCUACCAAGGCGACGAUCAGUAGCUGGUCUGAGAGGAUGAUCAGCCACACUGGGACUGAGACACGGCCCAGACUCCUACGGGAGGCAGCAGUGGGGAAUAUUGGACAAUGGGAGCAAGCCUGAUCCAGCCAUGCCGCGUGAGUGAUGAAGGCCUUAGGGUUGUAAAGCUCUUUUGUCCGGGACGAUAAUGACGGUACCGGAAGAAUAAGCCACGGCUAACUUCGUG